rnacentral:lncRNA from 1 species
GGUGUACCGCCUCUGGUGAGUGCCGAUAUCUCCCUCCUCUCUUUGUAUCAUCCCUUGUGGGGGGGCUUUGUGUAAUACUCCAAAUUUGGAUGAAUGGAUAUGGAUGUUAGGCUGUAAUGUGUAUUGAUCCAAGUUUUGGGAAAAUUAGAUAUAUGCCAUUACAACUUUACAAUACUCUAAAUGCCAUCAUGUAGGUUUUCAGACUGAGAUGCCAAUGUCUUCUUCCUUCUCUUCUCCUCCCUCCCUCCCUCACCUCACUCAUUUCCCAACAGUGACCUGCAACCGUGCUGGCCAGCGACGUCCUCCACUCCCGCCCCCUCAGCAAGCGUGGCUGGCCUGCCGCUGGUGCUGUACUCAUGUUGUCCAUCUUCCUCUACCCCUUGCACCUACCAUCUUGCCUCCAUGGAUGGGUCCCCUCCUAAGCUUCGAUUCCUCAGGCUGUCUGCAACUCUUCGCAGCAUCCUCUGCCCUCCUAUGACUGCCAUGGAUGGGGAAUCCAUCAGGAAGCUCCAUUUUGAAGACCGCCGCAAAUUCCUGCUGCCUUAUCUAGAGGAGAUGGGGUCCAUGGCCGUUUUACUGAUCCAGCAGCAAGCUCCAUCUCAAUAUUCCCCUCAACCUCUCGCUGCCGGCUCACUGUCGGAUUUAGAGGAGAUGGUAGCCACAGAGCAACCAGAUGUGGAUGAGAUGUGGAUCGCAGAAUGAGUUUGGAUGGCCUUGGAUGGUAGUUCUGAUCUCUGGGAAGAAAUUGUGAUGGGGAUCCCAUGGUCAGGCUGUGGCAUGGAGGUCGAAUCCAUGUGGCAAAGAGAGGCAAGGAAGAGAGGUGACAGAGGGAGGAAGAGACUGUGCUGCCAUGGUUGAGGAAUAUGAGGUCAGUGGAGGAAGAAGAGCAAGGAAGAAGGCAUGGGCAUUUUGGUCUGAAAUUUUGCAUAAUGGCAUCUCCAGGAGUAUUGCAACGUUGUAGUGUCAUUUUUCCAAAGAGUAAAAUAGUGAUGGCAUUUCUCUGAAUUGCCAAAGCUGCAAUGUCAUAUAUCUAAGUUUCCCAAGUUACCCGCUUUAUGCCCGAGUGCUACUGAUCAGGAACCAAUGUUCCACACUGUUCUGAGAUGUGAACUAGUAUGCUUGCAGUACUAUAUAAAGAACAGUUUGAUUCGUACAGCCUAAAUAAAUUGUUCUGAACAAUCCUCUUUUUUUUUGCUUGUUGCCGUGUAGAGAGAAGAUUCACUGGUGAUUUGGAAUAGUUGCUGUCACGAAUGUUGUGCACAGCGACAUGCCCUGAUGCUGUUCCAGAUUGCAUACUGGUGAGUACCUCUCACCCAAUUUGACUACCAAUUUUGUUUUUAUGCAUUUUCUUUCUUUCUCAAACUUAGAUAUUUUUACAAGUACAUGAGAUGCUAGAUAAACGUCUUAGAUGCUAGUGUAU